AGCGGCGGAUGGGUGAGUAACACGUGGGGAACCUGCCCCUAAGUCUGGGAUACCAUUUGGAAACAGGUGCUAAUACCGGAUAAUAAAGCAGAUCGCAUGAUCAGCUUUUGAAAGGCGGCGUAAGCUGUCGCUAAGGGAUGGCCCCGCGGUGCAUUAGCUAGUUGGUAAGGUAACGGCUUACCAAGGCGACGAUGCAUAGCCGAGUUGAGAGACUGAUCGGCCACAUUGGGACUGAGACACGGCCCAAACUCCUACGGGAGGCAGCAGUAGGGAAUCUUCCACAAUGGACGCAAGUCUGAUGGAGCAACGCCGCGUGAGUGAAGAAGGUUUUCGGAUCGUAAAGCUCUGUUGUUGGUGAAGAAGGAUAGAGGUAGUAACUGGCCUUUAUUUGACGGUAAUCAACCAGAAAGUCACGGCUAACUACGUGCCAGCAGCCGCGGUAAUACGUAGGUGGCAAGCGUUGUCCGGAUUUAUUGGGCGUAAAGCGAGCGCAGGCGGAAAAAUAAGUCUAAUGUGAAAGCCCUCGGCUUAACCGAGGAACUGCAUCGGAAACUGUUUUUCUUGAGUGCAGAAGAGGAGAGUGGAACUCCAUGUGUAGCGGUGGAAUGCGUAGAUAUAUGGAAGAACACCAGUGGCGAAGGCGGCUCUCUGGUCUGCAACUGACGCUGAGGCUCGAAAGCAUGGGUAGCGAACAGGAUUAGAUACCCUGGUAGUCCAUGCCGUAAACGAUGAGUGCUAAGUGU
rnacentral:rRNA from 1 species